CUAAUCGUGACCAGGAAGAGACUGCGCAUAAAGCCCAUACAGAAGGAAAAAUAAAAAAAAGGAAUUACCAAAAUCCAAAAACAGGGCGGAUUUUAAAUUAGGUUGUUCUUGUCAAUGACCGCUAAUGCCAUUACAACUCAUGGAGAAAACGGAGUUAACGAAGCUGAAUGUGUUAAAUACGGAAUGUGAGCCGCUAAGCAUUAU